AACUUUCGACAAUGUGUCUCGUGGCUCUCGCGUCGAUUAAGAACGCAGCGAAAUGCGAUACGUAAUGUGAAUUGCAGAAUUCAGUGAAUCAUCGAAUCUUUGAACGCACCUUGCGCCCCUUGGAAUUCCGAGGGGCACACCCGUUUGAGUGUCGUGAACAUCCUUCAACCUUUCUUGGUUUCUUAACCGGGGAAGGCUUGGACUUUGGGGGUCUUUCAUUGCUGGCCUCUUUGAAGCCAGCUCCUCCUAAAUGGAUUAGUGUGGUCUGCUUUGCCGAUCCUUGACGUGAUAAGAUGUUUCUACGUCUUGGGUUUCGCACUGUCGCUUUAGACCCCGCUUCUAACCGUCUUGCAUUCAAGACAGAGUUUUAAACCUUGACCUCAAAUCGGGUGAGACUACCCGCUGAACUUAAGCAUAUCAAUAAGCGGAGGC
rnacentral:misc_RNA from 1 species